GAUGAACGCUGGCGGCGUGCCUAAUACAUGCAAGUCGAGCGAACAGACGAGGAGCUUGCUCCUCUGACGUUAGCGGCGGACGGGUGAGUAACACGUGGAUAACCUACCUAUAAGACUGGGAUAACUUCGGGAAACCGGAGCUAAUACCGGAUAAUAUAUUGAACCGCAUGGUUCAAUAGUGAAAGACGGUUUUGCUGUCACUUAUAGCUGGAUCCGCGCCGCAUUAGCUAGUUGGUAAGGUAACGGCUUACCAAGGCAACGAUGCGUAGCCGACCUGAGAGGGUGAUCGGCCACACUGGAACUGAGACACGGUCCAGACUCCUACGGGAGGCAGCAGUAGGGAAUCUUCCGCAAUGGGCGAAAGCCUGACGGAGCAACGCCGCGUGAGUGAUGAAGGUCUUCGGAUCGUAAAACUCUGUUAUUAGGGAAGAACAAAUGUGUAAGUAACUAUGCACGUCUUGACGGAACCUAUCAGAAAGCCACGGCUAACUACGUG
rnacentral:rRNA from 1 species